CAUGUCUUCAGUGUUUUAUAGAUGUGCUCACAGGUAAUCUAAACAAGAACUCUACAAGAGAGGUAUCCAGAGCCCCAUUUUAUAGAUAAGGAAAUUGAGGCUCAGAGAGGACAAGCGACUUGGCUAAGCUCCUGCAGCUGGAAGUCUUUGGUGGUCUGGCUGGAUGGAGCCAAGGUUUUGGAGGCAGCCUGGAGCAAGAGACAAUGCCUGAGAAUUGCCUUCAGAAGACCCAUUUUAAAUCUUGGCUGUACCACUUACCAAAAGAACACACACACUAACCCACUGUGCCUCAGUUUCCUCCUGUACAAAAUGGAGAUAAAAAUAGCAUCUACCUGAGUUGGGGGCUGCAUCUGACAAGUGGCUGUGGUUUCAAGUCUCUGGAGUCCCAUUUUUUUCUCUUCCAUGGAGUUUGUUUGCUGCAGUUUGAGGAGCCGAGGCAUAUGAUAAAUACCAGGUGUCCUUAGAAGAAGAGGAGAUUGGGCCCCAGACACACAUGCACAGAAGAAAGACCACGUGAAGACAAAGGGAGAAGUCGGCGAUCUACAAAGCAAGGAAACAUCCUCAGAAUGAAACCAACCUUGCCAACCCCUGAUCCUAGACCUCCAGCCUCCACAACGGCCUUUGGACUCAGAUGGAAUUAUACCAUGGGGUUUCCUGGGUCUCCAGCAUGCAGAUGGCAGAUUGUGGAACUUCUCAGCCUCCAAAAUCGAGUGAGCCAAUUCCCAUCAUAAAUCCCCUCUCCUAUGUCUAAAUAUGUCCUAUUGCUUCUCUUUCUCUGGAGAAUGCUGACUAAUACAGACAUAAUACAGCAGUCUUUGGGGAUGAUGUAUGAGUAUGUGGAAGAAGAACUAGACAUGAAGCAGAGUGUGCUUUCUUUAACAUAACUUUUUCAUUAAAAUAGUUGUAUGUGCUUAGUACAAAAACUUGGAAAAUACAGAAAUGUAGUGGAAAAAGGAAGAAGAAAAACU